rnacentral:rRNA from 1 species
AUUGAACGCUGGCGGCAGGCCUAACACAUGCAAGUCGAGCGGAUGAAGGGAGCUUGCUCCUGGAUUCAGCGGCGGACGGGUGAGUAAUGCCUAGGAAUCUGCCUGGUAGUGGGGGAUAACGUCCGGAAACGGGCGCUAAUACCGCAUACGUCCUGAGGGAGAAAGUGGGGGAUCUUCAGACCUCACGCUAUCAGAUGAGCCUAGGUCGGAUUAGCUAGUUGGUGGGGUAAAGGCCUACCAAGGCGACGAUCCGUAACUGGUCUGAGAGGAUGAUCAGUCACACUGGAACUGACACACGGUCCAGACUCCUACGGGAGGCAGCAGUGGGGAAUAUUGGACAAUGGGCGAAAGCCUGAUCCAGCCAUGCCGCGUGUGUGAAGAAGGUCUUCGGAUUGUAAAGCACUUUAAGUUGGGAGGAAGGGCAGUAAGUUAAUACCUUGCUGUUUUGACGGUACCAACAGAAUAAGCACCGGCUAACUUCGUG